GUUACUUUAGUACCUGGCAUGUUGUUGUCAUUCAGUAACUAUUUUGGUAUGAUUGAAUAAACAUUGUCUCCGUGGAUGUGUACUGUUCUGCUUUGCUGCUCUAUUUCUUUUGUAGGUCAGAGUUGAUGUCCAUUUCUGUGGAGUUAACUUUGGUGAUAUUUUGAUCUGCCGUGAUCAAUAUCAGGAAAGGCCCCAUCUUCCCUUCACACCUGGUAAUAUAGCUGCUGCUGGAAGUGACGAGAAGUGCAAGCUGGCGAUGCAGAGGGGUGCGCAGUCCAGCGUGAACUACAGUCAGGGCAGCCUGAAGGAUGCAGUAAGGAAGCUGGUGGGCGAGGGCGGGG
rnacentral:lncRNA from 1 species